GGCGUGUGACUGCGUACCUUUUGUAUAAUGGGUCAGCGACUUAUAUUCUGUAGCAAGGUUAACCGAAUAGGGGAGCCGAAGGGAAACCGAGUCUUAACUGGGCGUUAAGUUGCAGGGUAUAGACCCGAAACCCGGUGAUCUAGCCAUGGGCAGGUUGAAGGUUGGGUAACACUAACUGGAGGACCGAACCGACUAAUGUUGAAAAAUUAGCGGAUGACUUGUGGCUGGGGGUGAAAGGCCAAUCAAACCGGGAGAUAGCUGGUUCUCCCCGAAAGCUAUUUAGGUAGCGCCUCGUGAAUUCAUCUCCGGGGGUAGAGCACUGUUUCGGCAAGGGGGUCAUCCCGACUUACCAACCCGAUGCAAACUGCGAAUACCGGAGAAUGUUAUCACGGGAGACACACGGCGGGUGCUAACGUCCGUCGUGAAGAGGGAAACAACCCAGACCGCCAGCUAAGGUCCCAAAGUCAUGGUUAAGUGGGAAACGAUGUGGGAAGGCCCAGACAGCCAGGAUGUUGGCUUAGAAGCAGCCAUCAUUUAAAGAAAGCGUAAUAGCUCACUGGUCGAGUCGGCCUGCGCGGAAGAUGUAACGGGGCUAAACCAUGCACCGAAGCUGCGGCAGCGACGCUGAUGCGUUGUUGGGUAGGGGAGCGUUCUGUAAGCCUGUGAAGGUGUGCUGUGAGGCAUGCUGGAGGUAUCAGAAGUGCGAAUGCUGACAUGAGUAACGAUAAAGCGGGUGAAAAGCCCGCUCGCCGGAAGACCAAGGGUUCCUGUCCAACGUUAAUCGGGGCAGGGUGAGUCGACCCCUAAGGCGAGGCCGAAAGGCGUAGUCGAUGGGAAACAGGUU
rnacentral:rRNA from 1 species